GGAUGUGAGGGCGAUCUGGCUGCGACAUCUGUCACCCCAUUGAUCGCCAGGGUUGAUUCGGCUGAUCUGGCUGGCUAGGCGGGUGUCCCCUUCCUCCCUCACCGCUCCAUGUGCGUCCCUCCCGAAGCUGCGCGCUCGGUGGAAGAGGACGACGUCCCAGGUAUAGAAGGAGUGUACCGAGGUCUCCAGUCUUCGGUCCCGGGUACGAUAUUGAUAUUCAAGACUAAUACAGUUAUAUCCAUGAAGAACAAACUAUAAGGCAUAGCAGGCUCAGCUAU
rnacentral:snRNA from 1 species